CUCCGGUGAUCCUGCCGGACCUGACUGCUAUCGGAUUGGUACUAAGCCAUGCGAGUCGUUGUAGCAAUACAAGGCGGACGGCUCAGUAACACGUAGUCAACCUAACCUAUGGACGUGGAUAACCUCGGGAAACUGAGAAUAAACCGCGAUAGAUCAUUAUGCCUGGAAUGGCUUAUGGUUCAAACAAUUUAUUGCCGUAGGAUGGGACUGCGGCCUAUCAGCUUGUUGGUGAGGUAAUGGCCCACCAAGGCUAUAACAGGUACGGGCUCUGAGAGGAGAAGCCCGGAGAUGGGUACUGAGACACGGACCCAGGCCCUAUGGGGCGCAGCAGGCGAGAAACCUUAGCAAUGUGCGAAAGCACGACUAGGUUAAUCCGAGUGAUUUCUGUUGAAGAAAUCUUUUGUCAGUCGUAAAACCACAGACGAAUAAGGGGUGGGCAAGUCUGGUGUCAGCCGCCGCGGUAAUACCAGCACCUCGAGUGGUCAGGAGGUUUAUUGGGCCUAAAGCAUCCGUAGCCGGCUACGCAAGUCUCCGGUUAAAUCCAGCUGCUCAACAGAUGGGCUGCCGGAGAUACUACAUAGCUAGGGAGCGGGAGAGGUAGACGGUAUUCUGUGGGUAGGGGUAAAAUCCACUGAUCCAUAGAGGACCACCAGUGGCGAAGGCGGUCUACCAGAACGCGUUCGACGGUGAGGGAUGAAAGCUGGGGGAGCAAACCGGAUUAGAUACCCGGGUAGUCCCAGCUGUAAACGAUGCAAACUCGGUGAUGCAUUGGCUUAUGGCCAAUGCAGUGCCGCAGGGAAGCCGUUAAGUUUGCCGCCUGGGAAGUACGGACGCAAGUCUGAAACUUAAAGGAUUGGCGGGGGAGCA
rnacentral:rRNA from 1 species